UGAUGAUGAUGAGGACAACUAAUCAACAACAAUUUGAACCUGUGCCAAGCUUUAUACAAGUUUUCACCACCUAGUUGCCUAAAGCUUAAAAUGUCAUUCCUUAGUUU